rnacentral:lncRNA from 10 species
CUUUUCGGACUCAGCCCACUUGCACCCAAGUGAAUAAACAGUGUUAUUGCCCACACAAAGCCUGUCUGUUGGUCUCUUCACAUAGAUGUGCUUGACAUUUGGUGCCAUGACUCAGAUCGGGGGACCUCCCUUGGGAGAUCAAUCCCCUGUCCUCCUGCUACAUUUGGUGCCGUGACUUGGAUCAGGGGACCUCCCUCGGGAGAUCAAUCCCCUGUCUUCCUGCUCUUUGCUCUGUGAGAAAAUCCACCUAUGACGUCAGGUUCUCAGACCAGCCCAAGAAACACCUCACCAAUUUUAAAUUGGGGACCCACUGGAAAUCAGACUGCCCAGAUCACCCGGCAACCACUCCCAGAACCCCUAAAGCUCUGGCCCAAGGAUCUCUGACUGACUCCUUCCCAGAUCUGCUUGGCUUAGUGACUGAAGACUGACACUGCCCAAUUGCCUUGGAAAACCCCUGGACCGUCACAGAUGCUGAGCUUCGGGUAACUCUCACAGUGGAGGCUUUAUAUUUUAUAAAUAAAAAGACAGGAAUGUCAGGCCUCUGAGCUGAAACUCAGCCAUUAUAACUUCUGUGACCUGCACAUACACAUCCAGGUGGCCUGCAGGAGCCAAGAAGUCUGGAGCAGCCAAAAAAUCACAAAGAUGUAAAACAACCAGUUCCUGCCUUAACUGAUUAACCAAAAUUACAACAUUUUACCAUUGUGACUUGUCCCUGCCCUACCUUAGCUGAUCAAUCAACUUUGCAACAUUCUUCUUUUGGACAAUGAGUCUUAUGAUCUCCCCACCAUGUACCUUGUGACCCCCCCUCUGCUAACAAUAGAUAACCACCUUUUACUGUAAUUUUCCAUUACCUACCCAACUCCUAUAAAGCAAACCCUUCCCCAUCUCCCUUCACUGACUCUCUUUUCAGACUGAGCCCACUUGCACCCAAGUGAAUAAACAGUCUUAUUGCUCACACAAAGCCUGUUUGUUGGUCUCUUCACAUGGACGCGCUUGACAUAGGUUGCUGGGUACAUAGCACUGAGCAACCGGUACUUUAGUUAAAUGUCAGAGUCAGGGUUAAGAUCAAUAAAAGUUACAAUACAGUAACACUUGCCUAGACACAGUGGGAAAUCUUGUUUAUGAUGAUUUCCAGAUGAGAA